GACAGGGGUGCGCCUGACGCUGAGAUUGCCUUUUUUGGCAAGACCCUUCGAACCUGAAGCAGGUAAUUCUGCCGCAGGGAGUCA
rnacentral:ncRNA from 1 species